UUCUCAUUAGCUCAACGGUAGAGCAGUAAUCUUUUAAGUUACAGGUUUUUAGUUCGAAUCUAAAUUGAGAAA
rnacentral:tRNA from 3 species